rnacentral:rRNA from 2 species
GGGUUACGAUGUCGGAUUAUUGGGCGUAAGCGCGCGCAGGCGGUCUCUUAAGUCUGAUGUGAAAGCCCACGGCUCAACCGUGGAGGGUCAUUGGAAACUGGGGGACUUGAGUACAGAAGAGGAAAGUGGAAUUCCACGUGUAGCGGUGAAAUGCGUAGAUAUGUGGAGGAACACCAGUGGCGAAGGCGACUUUCUGGUCUGUAACUGACGCUGAGGCGCGAAAGCGUGGGGAGCAAACAGGAUUAGAUACCCUGGUAGUCCACGCCGUAAACGAUGAGUGCUAAGUGUUAGAGGGUUUCCGCCCUUUAGUGCUGCAGCUAACGCAUUAAGCACUCCGCCUGGGGAGUACGGUCGCAAGACUGAAACUCAAAGGAAUUGACGGGGGCACCGCACAAGCGGUGKAGCAUGUGGUUUAAUUCGAAGCAACGCGAAGAACCUUACCAGGUCUUGACAUCCUCUGACAACCCUAGAGAUAGGGCUUUCCCCUUCGGGGGACAGAGUGACAGGUGGUGCAUGGUUGUCGUCAGCUCGUGUCGUGAGAUGUUGGGUUAAGUCCCGCAACGAGCGCAACCCUUGAUCUUAGUUGCCAGCAUUCAGUUGGGCACUCUAAGAUGACUGCCGGUGACAAACCGGAGGAAGGUGGGGAUGACGUCAAAUCAUCAUGCCCCUUAUGACCUGGGCUACACACGUGCUACAAUGGACGGUACAAAGGGCAGCAAGACCGCGAGGUUUAGCAAAUCCCAUAAAACCGUUCUCAGUUCGGAUUGCAGGCUGCAACUCGCCUGCAUGAAGCUGGAAUCGCUAGUAAUCGCGGAUCAGCAUGCCGCGGUGAAUACGUUCCCGGGCCUUGUACACACCGCCCGUCACACCACGAGAGUUUGUAACACCCGAAGUCGGUGAGGUAACCUUUUGGAGCCAGCCGCCUAAKGUGGGGACAGAUGAUWGGGGUGAAGUCGUAACAAGUUUACCCGUAAAUAACUGGGGAACAAAUGAUUGGGGGUGAAGUUCGUAACAAGGUGAACCGUAGAGCAGCUAAGGGGAGGGUGGGGAGUUCCUCGUGUAGUGCGAAUGCGUAGAUGUGUGGAGAAGCACGAGUGUGAAGCGACUUUUUGCUCUGUAUUGACGCUCAGAGCGAAAAAGUGUGGAGAAAACAGAUUAUCAUCUUCUGGUGGUCCACGCCGUAACGAUGAUCGCUGCUAGUGGAGAGUGUCCUGCUCUCUAUGUGGCAGCAACGCACUAUUACUCUGCCGGGAGUAUGUGCGCAGAGGUAUCACAAAGAUUACGGGGCGCCCGCACACGUGUGACACAUAGUUUUAUGUAGAGACGCCAGAGACGUAUCACGCGUUGUGUCUGUAUACCAGAGAUGUUUCUCUCGCAGCACGUCUAGUGAUG